UCAUCUCAUCUCACUUCCCUCACCUCCUUCACCUCUCUCACUUUACCUCUCUCUCUCACCUCAUCUCAUUUUACAAGGCAGCCUUGACUGCCUUUUCAGUCCCUGCUGCCUUCUGGUCUCCUUGUCAGCCUAAGCUGGCCUACGAAACAGCUCCCUUCAGCCCGAAUAACACACCUUCUCCCUACCCUUUACUCCCUGCAGGGUCUCAGUCUCCGACAAGCAGAGAGAGGCAGUUGCGGGCCAUGACGCUGAGCCAUGGCUUCAGGGGCUGAGCAAGAUUGGCAUAAUGAAAAUGCUUUCAUUUCCUGGCUCAGAAGCAAGAGGUGGGGGCUGUCCAGUGCCAACAAAUCCAUCUCCAAAUCCUCCGGCCUCUGUCUGUCAGUCUGCAGCUGGCAGAGCGAUGACUGACAGCUGGGCAUCACCAUUGAGAACCCUGGUCCCUGUACCCUGCAACAUCCUCCCUCCUUUGUGGGCAGAGUGAGGUCUCUCCUGCGCCUCCACUGUGUUCUGGCUCCCCCACCCUACCACGAGUCCCCGCUGAGCCCACUGGGAGCCUGACCUGGGCUCAUCUGCUCAGCAUCUCAUCACAUGUCAUGGGUCAGCGCAUCUCAAAUAAUCUCAGAAUCUUUCCAUCACCACCACCGCUUGCCUGGAGCCUGCACUAAGCCCCUGAACUGACUCCCUGCUUGCCCUCUGGCUCCCAAAAUCUGCUGUUCUCUGCCUAACAGUCUCCCUGCUUCAACUAUCUUCCUCUUCCAUGAGAAAUCUCCAGACAAGGGCAGAUUUACCAGAGGUUAAAAAGCUUAAGCUUCAGGGACCCUUACUCCCCAGACCCCCUCCUAAGACCCCAGCGGGGCCCCAAGCAAUGUGGUUAAUGAGCAUUUCAAUUCCAAGGUUAAUUCCAAGGUUAAGUAGGAUUAGUAACUGCAAGGAAAACUUGCUAUGUCCUGAAGCCCUUACUGCUCAGAUAUAUGAGGAACUUCACAGAAGGCUUCUCGAAUUUGACAACACUCCUGAAGAUGGUCUGUAAUGAAUUGUGAAGGUGAAAAAAUCUUCAAUCCUAUCUAUGGAGAAAACCAUGAUGAUCAGAGUCUGUGGGAGGAAAGCCUGAUUGAACUUUCAAUUCUCUCCAUGGAAGAUAACAUUACAAAAUCAUUGUCUUUGGAAGAUGUGAAUAGAGAGAAUGCAGCCCAUACAAUUCAGGGGAGAAAGAAAGUCAUGAAGGA